rnacentral:rRNA from 1 species
CCUGGCGGCGAUAGUGCGGUGGACCCACCUGAGACCAUACCGAACUCAGAAGUGAAACGCUGUAAUGCCGAUGGUAGUGUGGGGUU